rnacentral:lncRNA from 1 species
GGCCCCAUGCAAGUCCAAAAUCCAGCAGGGCAGUCAAACUUAAAGCUCCAAAAUUAUCUCCUUUGACUCCAUGUCUUGCAUCUGGGUCAUGCUGAAUUUCUUCUGCCAGAUACCCUAAAUCAUCUCUGUCAAGUUCAAAGUUCCACAAAUAUCUUAGGCAGGGGCAAAAAGCUGCCAGCCUCUUGGCUAAAACAUAACAGGAGUCACCAUUUCUCUAAUUCCCGACAAGCUCCUCAUCUCCAUCUGAGACCACCUCAGCCUGGAUUUCAUUGUCCAUAUCAUGAUCAGCAUUUUGGUCAAAGGCAUUCAACAAGUCUCUAGGGAGUUCCAAGCUUUCCCAUAUUUUCCCGUCUUCUUCUGAGCCCUCCAAACUGUUCCAACCUCUGCCUGUUAGUCAGUUCCAAAGUUGAUUCCACAUUUUUGGGUAUCUCUUCAGCAGUGCCCCACUCUACUGGUGCCAGUUUACUGUAUUAGUUCAUUUUCACACUGCUGAUAAAGACAUACCUGAUACUGGGUAAUUUAUAUGGGAAAGAUGUUUAAUGGACUUACAGUUCCACAUGGCUGGGGAGGCCUCACAAUCAUGGUGGAAGGCAAGGAGGAGCAAGUCACAUCUUACGUGGAUGGUGGCAGGCAAAAAGAAAGCUUGUUCAGGGAAACUCCCAUUUUUAAAGCCAUCAGGUCUUGUGAGACUCAUUCACUGUCACGAGAACAGUGCAGGAAAGGCCUGCCCCCAUGAUUCAUUCACCUUUUACUGGGCUCCUCCCGUGACCUGUGG